rnacentral:lncRNA from 1 species
UCUAGGUCCCAGGCCCUCAGAACCCCUCCAGGUCCCUCCAACCCUGGAUCCCCCCUCUCCACUCCCUCUCCACCCCCGACCCCAGGCUGGGGCUCACAUGGAGAAGAUGAGACAGAGACCGAGGGCCACCAGGGCCAUGACGCCAGCCCCCCCGAUGGCCCCGCAGACCACUCCUGCUGCUGGGUUUGUCCCCUGACUCCCUGCAGAGAGAAGAGACUUGGGUGACCUCCAGUCUUGGUAACCAGGCACGUGUCCCCUCCUCUCCAGCACUCGGGGCCCUCACCUCCCACGUGGGUUCAGCCCCUAAGUCUUCCCACCCCUCAGAAGACGUCAGCCUGUCAGGAACCUUAGGAGGAAGGACACAGCUCACCCUGUGCCUCCUGUCCCCCCAGGCUCUUGCCCAGACCUGGGACCCCAGUCUCUCUCCACCCAGGGUCUCCAUGCCACAGACCCCAGACCUGGCCACAGUGGGGCCAUGAAGCUAUGGGGGACAAGAACUUUCCAUUAGAGACAGGGACGGGGACAGAGAAGGUGCAGGACCCUGAGGGACCUCAUACCUCCCUUCUUCCCUAGUCUCCUGUCCUGGUCUCCGCUGGCCCUGUCACUCAGGGUCAGAGGGCUCCCUGGGCCUGCAGAAGGGACGAGAAGCAGGUGGAGCAGGGAAUCCAUGUCAGGCCUCGGGUCAGACCUGGGCAGCCUCCCGGGACCUUGACACCUGGAGUCGGGGCGUCCCUGGGCAGUGGAGGUCAGCAGUUGAGGAGGACUCCUGAGGGAACCACCCCUGCCCUGGGGUCUCACUGUCCAGCAAGGGGACCAGAUGCCAUUGCGAUGGGAACAGGCCGUGGUGCUGAUCUCUGGGCAGAGGUCAGGGCCAGGGAGGAAGGAUUGACAGGAAAAGCAAGAAAGUCCCAGAGAUGUUUCAAGGGCUCUUCUGUGUGACUGUGUUAUGGGGUCAAGUCCCACAGAACGUCCGACUCCAAGGGUGGCCCUGCCGAGAAGUGAGGACUCCAAGUGACAGUGACGUGUCCAUGUAGGUUUGUGGACUGUAGUAAGUGACCCACUCUGAGCAUGAGGUCUCCCGACUCAGGAGGUGGUGCCACACAGGGGCACCUGGUGUUUGGGAAAUCUCUGCACCUGUCGCUUGAUUUUGCAGUGAACCUUCAAUUCCUCUAAAACCUAAAG